UACCGCUACAACUCCUGUAAGCCAGGAUCUACAGUAGAUACAACCAUGAAAACAUCAGCUUAUCCCAAACAAACUACAAAUAAAAUUGUACAUGUUUAAUAAAAUGUUUAAACAAUUGCAGAUGUGCAUAAAAUGUACCAUCAUCAUCCAAUCCCGUUGAAACCUCGGACAAACUUGGGGCUUGACCGGCAUGGACCAAUGUCUUGCAUGGCGACCACCACACCGAGCCCGCCGCCACAAUUUAUUCACCCAGCGUUGCCAACUACAGCCUCGUGGUUCUUCAGACCAAUGACGUGGAACUUCUCCCCGGGUUUGACGUCAUUCUACAGUCCCGGCAACAGCAACGGCUGGUCUAAAAUCAAAACGUUCCAGUAUCAUUUUUGAAAAGAUCAUUUGUAUAAAAUAAAGUGCUUUAAUACCA